rnacentral:rRNA from 1 species
GACGAACGCUGGCGGCGUGCUUAACACAUGCAAGUCGAGCGGAAAGGCCCUUCGGGGUACUCGAGCGGCGAACGGGUGAGUAACACGUGAGUAACCUGCCCUUGGCUCUGGGAUAAGCCCGGGAAACUGGGUCUAAUACCGGAUAUGACCACCUUCUGCAUGGAGGGUGGUGGAAAGUUUUUCGGCUGAGGAUGGACUCGCGGUCUAUCAGCUUGUUGGUGGGGUAMCGGCCUACCAAGGCGACGACGGAUAGCCGGCCUGAGAGGGUGACCGGCCACACUGGGACUGAGACACGGCCCAGACUCCUACGGGAGGCAGCAGUGGGGAAUAUUGCGCAAUGGGCGAAAGCCUGACGCAGCGACGCCGCGUGGGGGAUGAAGGCCUUCGGGUUGUAAACCUCUUUCACCACCGACGAAGCUAACGUGACGGUAG